GCGGUAGUAGUGUAGCCUGGUAGCAUAAGAGACUGUGGAUCUCUUGGCCCGAGUUCAAAUCUCGGCUACCGCC
rfam:Candidatus Woesearchaeota archaeon CG1_02_33_12 cg1_0.2_scaffold_6555_c, whole genome shotgun sequence.